CAUGGCGAGUUUGAUCCUGGCUCAGAGCGAACGCUGGCGGCGUACUUAACACAUGCAAGUCGAACGGGGAUCGUCGGUGUAGCAAUACAUCGGCGGUUCUAGUGGCGCACGGGUGAGUAACACGUGGGUAACCUGUCCUCGAGUUCGGGAUACCCUCUCGAAAGGGAGGCUAAUACCGGAUACGUUCCCCGGAUUGCGAAAUCUGGGGAGGAAAGGUGGCGAAAGCUGCCGCUCUUGGAGGGGCUCGCGGCCUAUCAGCUAGUUGGUGAGGUAACGGCUCACCAAGGCUAUGACGGGUAGCUGGUCUGAGAGGACGACCAGCCACACGGGAACUGAGACACGGUCCCGACUCCUACGGGAGGCAGCAGUGGGGAAUUUUCCGCAAUGGGC
rnacentral:rRNA from 1 species